GGGGAUGUCUGAGGCUGGGGCACAUUUGCCCAGGGCUGGCAGGAAUGACCCACUUAAUUGCUCAUCAUUUCUGUGCCCGACCAGGGUGGGCUGGGUGCUGGUUAGUGAUGUCUUUGGGGAGUGAAGGGUAAGUCUGGAGGAGUUGCUCUCCUUUCUUGAGUAUGAAGCUUUAAGAGCUUCAGAACCCAUUUUUUCUCCCCAUUCCCCAUCUCUGGAGUUUUCUGGUGGUGCUUGCUCAAUGCAACACACUGCCUCUCCGGGGUCAGUGUGGUCUUUCUCCUAGUGCCCAUCUGAAAUGUCGUAAGUAGGUCUCUGCAGAGGAGGAGGUGGCGUGCAGCUCUGAGAAAUGAAACCUCCGUCUCCCGUUCACUUCAGAUCAGAGGGACCAUGUUCCUGUAAGAGCCCUGGAGCUAGACCUGGAUUAUUGGAGUGGAAAUGUUUCCCGCGAGCUUGUGCUAGGCUUUCAGCUCCUAUGGGAUGGGCUGGAACCAGGGGAGGAGAUUGUUAAAGCUAAGCGUGCAAGCUUAAAGCUAAAGCUCUGCUAAGUGUGCAAGCUAGGAAACACCGCUCAGCUUAACUUGUCCCCUUGUUCCACACCCUCUGUCACGGAAGAGAUGUGAAACUGGAACCACAGCACGGAUCCAGACUAACCCCAGGUCAGCCAGUAUCAUGUGUUGCAUCCUUAGAAGCUAUACCCUACUUGAGGAAGCUUUACCAUGAAUCAGUACUUGAAUGAAUCCAACUUCAUGAUGGUGGAAGAGGGCUUCACCACCAGAGACCUCCUGGAGAACCUGCUGGUGGAGCUGUGCCAGGUGAGCGACCAGCAAGCCUUCUUCGUGGCAGACCUUGGGGACGUC